AAUGAUGUGGCUCUGUGGUAGAGCACUUGCUUAACAUGUAGGAGGCCCUGAGUUCAAUCUCCAGCAUCACCA
rnacentral:tRNA from 1 species